GGGCUGCGCUAACUCCCAACCCCUGUGACAUACCACUUGUUGCCUCGGCGGAUCAGCCCGCUCCCGGUAAAACGGGACGGCCCGCCAGAGGACCCCUAAACUCUGUUUCUAUAUGUAACUUCUGAGUAAAACCAUAAAUAAAUCAAAACUUUCAACAACGGAUCUCUUGGUUCUGGCAUCGAUGAAGAACGCAGCAAAAUGCGAUAAGUAAUGUGAAUUGCAGAAUUCAGUGAAUCAUCGAAUCUUUGAACGCACAUUGCGCCCGCCAGUAUUCUGGCGGGCAUGCCUGUUCGAGCGUCAUUUCAACCCUCAAGCACAGCUUGGUGUUGGGACUCGCGUUAAUUCGCGUUCCUCAAAUUGAUUGGCGGUCACGUCGAGCUUCCAUAGCGUAGUAGUAAAACCCUCGUUACUGGUAAUCGUCGCGGCCACGCCGUUAAACCCCAACUUCUGAAUGUUGACCUCGGAUCAGGUAGGAAUACCCGCUGAACUUAAGCAUAUGAAUAAGACCGGAGA
rnacentral:rRNA from 1 species